AAAGAUUAAGCCAUGCAUGUCUAAGUAUAAGCGACUUAUACUGUGAAACUGCGAAUGGCUCAUUAUAUCAGUAAUAGUUUAUUUGAUGGUCCCUUACUACCUGGAUACCCGUAGUAUUUCUAGAGCUAAUACAUGCACUACGAUCCCAACUGCUUGUCGGGCGGGAUGCCUUUAUUAGAUCGAAACCAAUGCGGCGCAAGCCGGUGUUGUGGUGAGUCAUGAUAACCUAGCGAAUCGCAUGCCCUCGGGCGGCGAUGUUUCAUUCAAGUUUCUGCCCUAUCAGCUUCGGAUGGUAGGGUAUUGGCCUACCAUGGCUU
rnacentral:rRNA from 1 species